rnacentral:lncRNA from 1 species
UUGUUGCAGUGGUAACUCCUGCUGAUGAUUAACACUUUGGACUGGAGCCUUGGUUCUCCAUUCUUGAAUCACUUUAGUCUUCUUCAGUUGAGGAGGCUGGUGUGGUUUUUGAUUCAGCAAGCAGUUAUGCCCAACCAUUAGACAUUUCCCACAGUAAGAUGGUUUCCAGUCAUAAACCACUUCUUGUAGAAAUUUCCUCCCAUUAGCAUCCA